rnacentral:rRNA from 1 species
CAGCAGCCGCGGUAAUACGUAGGUGGCAAGCGUUGUCCGGAAUUAUUGGGCGUAAAGGGCUCGCAGGCGGUUUCUUAAGUCUGACGUGAAAGCCCCCGGCUCAACCGGGGAGGGUCAUUGGAAACUGGGAAACUUGAGUGCAGAAGAGGAGAGUGGAAUUCCACGUGUAGCGGUGAAAUGCGUAGAGAUGUGGAGGAACACCAGUGGCGAAGGCGGCUUACUGGCUCGAAACUGACGCUGAGGCGCGAAAGCGUGGGGAGCAAACAGGAUUAGAUACCCGCGUAGUCCCUGUCUCUUAUAC